GGGGAUGCCAGGCUUCGACGGGAGAGGCGUGCCCCGAAUGGCGAGCCGAGAGGUGCCGACCUCGUGAAAUCAGCACAAACAAUUAAGUGCCAACACACGCACUUCCUAUGCUGCAAUGCCUCUCGCUGCAUAAGCAAAAGGCGAACAGCUCCUGAUCCUUCGUGGAUCACGUCUGCCCACCCCGCCCUCUGACCGGAGGUGGAGCAGGCGCAACAAAGCCAGAGUGCCGCAUAGAUGGUCGCGACCUAUGCGAAAGAGGGCUUUCGGGUCCAAGCGGCUUGGCUUCCAGCAGGUUUGUCGCUUUUCCUUGCCGGAAGUGAUCAUCAAAAACCGACUACGCUCGUAGAUGUUCGAGGGUCGAAUCUUUCGGACGCGGGUUCGAUUCCCGCCAUCUCCACCU
rnacentral:tmRNA from 1 species